rnacentral:rRNA from 1 species
UUAAGCGACUAAGCGUACACGGUGGAUGCCCUGGCAGUCAGAGGCGAUGAAGGACGUGCUAAUCUGCGAUAAGCGUCGGUAAGGUGAUAUGAACCGUUAUAACCGGCGAUUUCCGAAUGGGGAAACCCAGUGUGUUUCGACACACUAUCAUUAACUGAAUCCAUAGGUUAAUGAGGCGAACCGGGGGAACUGAAACAUCUAAGUACCCGAGGAAAAGAAAUCAACCGAGAUUCCCCAGUAGCGGCGAGCGAACGGGGAGCAGCCCAGAGCCUGAAUCAGUGUGUGUGUUAGUGGAAGCGUCUGGAAAGGCGCGCGAUACAGGGUGACAGCCCCGUACACAAAAAUGCACAUAUUGUGAGCUCGAUGAGUAGGGCGGGACACGUGGUAUCCUGUCUGAAUAUGGGGGGACCAUCCUCCAAGGCUAAAUACUCCUGACUGACCGAUAGUGAACCAGUACCGUGAGGGAAAGGCGAAAAGAACCCCGGCGAGGGGAGUGAAAAAGAACCUGAAACCGUGUACGUACAAGCAGUGGGAGCACGCUUAGGCGUGUGACUGCGUACCUUUUGUAUAAUGGGUCAGCGACUUAUAUUCUGUAGCAAGGUUAACCGAAUAGGGGAGCCGAAGGGAAACCGAGUCUUAACUGGGCGUUAAGUUGCAGGGUAUAGACCCGAAACCCGGUGAUCUAGCCAUGGGCAGGUUGAAGGUUGGGUAACACUAACUGGAGGACCGAACCGACUAAUGUUGAAAAAUUAGCGGAUGACUUGUGGCUGGGGGUGAAAGGCCAAUCAAACCGGGAGAUAGCUGGUUCUCCCCGAAAGCUAUUUAGGUAGCGCCUCGUGAAUUCAUCUCCGGGGGUAGAGCACUGUUUCGGCAAGGGGGUCAUCCCGACUUACCAACCCGAUGCAAACUGCGAAUACCGGAGAAUGUUAUCACGGGAGACACACGGCGGGUGCUAACGUCCGUCGUGAAGAGGGAAACAACCCAGACCGCCAGCUAAGGUCCCAAAGUCAUGGUUAAGUGGGAAACGAUGUGGGAAGGCCCAGACAGCCAGGAUGUUGGCUUAGAAGCAGCCAUCAUUUAAAGAAAGCGUAAUAGCUCACUGGUCGAGUCGGCCUGCGCGGAAGAUGUAACGGGGCUAAACCAUGCACCGAAGCUGCGGCAGCGACGCUGAUGCGUUGUUGGGUAGGGGAGCGUUCUGUAAGCCUGUGAAGGUGUGCUGUGAGGCAUGCUGGAGGUAUCAGAAGUGCGAAUGCUGACAUAAGUAACGAUAAAGCGGGUGAAAAGCCCGCUCGCCGGAAGACCAAGGGUUCCUGUCCAACGUUAAUCGGGGCAGGGUGAGUCGACCCCUAAGGCGAGGCCGAAAGGCGUAGUCGAUGGGAAACAGGUUAAUAUUCCUGUACUUGGUGUUACUGCGAAGGGGGGACGGAGAAGGCUAUGUUGGCCGGGCGACGGUUGUCCCGGUUUAAGCGUGUAGGCUGGUUUUCCAGGCAAAUCCGGAAAAUCAAGGCUGAGGCGUGAUGACGAGGCACUACGGUGCUGAAGCAACAAAUGCCCUGCUUCCAGGAAAAGCCUCUAAGCAUCAGGUAACAUCAAAUCGUACCCCAAACCGACACAGGUGGUCAGGUAGAGAAUACCAAGGCGCUUGAGAGAACUCGGGUGAAGGAACUAGGCAAAAUGGUGCCGUAACUUCGGGAGAAGGCACGCUGAUAUGUAGGUGAAGUCCCUCGCGGAUGGAGCUGAAAUCAGUCGAAGAUACCAGCUGGCUGCAACUGUUUAUUAAAAACACAGCACUGUGCAAACACGAAAGUGGACGUAUACGGUGUGACGCCUGCCCGGUGCCGGAAGGUUAAUUGAUGGGGUCAGCGCAAGCGAAGCUCUUGAUCGAAGCCCCGGUAAACGGCGGCCGUAACUAUAACGGUCCUAAGGUAGCGAAAUUCCUUGUCGGGUAAGUUCCGACCUGCACGAAUGGCGUAAUGAUGGCCAGGCUGUCUCCACCCGAGACUCAGUGAAAUUGAACUCGCUGUGAAGAUGCAGUGUACCCGCGGCAAGACGGAAAGACCCCGUGAACCUUUACUAUAGCUUGACACUGAACAUUGAGCCUUGAUGUGUAGGAUAGGUGGGAGGCUUUGAAGUGUGGACGCCAGUCUGCAUGGAGCCGACCUUGAAAUACCACCCUUUAAUGUUUGAUGUUCUAACGUGGACCCGUGAUCCGGGUUGCGGACAGUGUCUGGUGGGUAGUUUGACUGGGGCGGUCUCCUCCUAAAGAGUAACGGAGGAGCACGAAGGUUGGCUAAUCCUGGUCGGACAUCAGGAGGUUAGUGCAAUGGCAUAAGCCAGCUUGACUGCGAGCGUGACGGCGCGAGCAGGUGCGAAAGCAGGUCAUAGUGAUCCGGUGGUUCUGAAUGGAAGGGCCAUCGCUCAACGGAUAAAAGGUACUCCGGGGAUAACAGGCUGAUACCGCCCAAGAGUUCAUAUCGACGGCGGUGUUUGGCACCUCGAUGUCGGCUCAUCACAUCCUGGGGCUGAAGUAGGUCCCAAGGGUAUGGCUGUUCGCCAUUUAAAGUGGUACGCGAGCUGGGUUUAGAACGUCGUGAGACAGUUCGGUCCCUAUCUGCCGUGGGCGCUGGAGAACUGAGGGGGGCUGCUCCUAGUACGAGAGGACCGGAGUGGACGCAUCACUGGUGUUCGGGUUGUCAUGCCAAUGGCACUGCCCGGUAGCUAAAUGCGGAAGAGAUAAGUGCUGAAAGCAUCUAAGCACGAAACUUGCCCCGAGAUGAGUUCUCCCUGACUCCUUGAGAGUCCUGAAGGAACGUUGAAGACGACGACGUUGAUAGGCCGGGUGUGUAAGCGCAGCGAUGCGUUGAGCUAACCGGUACUAAUGAACCGUGAGGCUUAACCUU